rnacentral:tRNA from 1 species
AUUUCUUUAGUAUAAUAAAUACCUUUGACUUCCAAUCAUCUAACCUUGGUUAAACCCCAAGAAGAAAUA